CAGCAGCCACGGUAAUACGAAGGGUGCAAGCGUUACUCGGAAUUACUGGGCGUAAAGCGUGUGUAGGUGGUUGUUUAAGUCUGUCGUGAAAGCCCUGGGCUCAACCUGGGAAUUGCGAUGGAUACUGGGCGACUAGAGUGCGGUAGAGGAUAGUGGAAUUUCCGGUGUAGCAGUGAAAUGCGUAGAGAUCGGAAGGAACAUCUGUGGCGAGGGCGACUAUCUGGGCCAACACUGACACUGAGGCACGAAAGCGUGGGGAGCAAACAGGAUUAGAUACCCCCGUAGUCCCUGUCUCUUAUAC
rnacentral:rRNA from 1 species